ACAAGCAGGAAGCAGUGCGGGGAUAGAAGUAGCGAUGAGACCGCAGCCCAAUAAGCUCGAGAUUUCUUCGGUGCAAUGUGUGCCAUCAGGGCCCAAAAUAACAUGUCAGUAGACAGGGCAAUACCUACUGGAAAGUGAGACCUUUACUGCACGAAUGAAAAGGGAAGAAGAGCCAUGAAACUGGAGAACGAAGACUUCCACAUUUUGUACACAAAGAAUCAUCCUUUCCUGUCUUGAAAAAUUCUGAUUCCAGUUUGGUUGUGAAACACAUAUCAGCUGAGGACCAAUAUUGAAUGAUGAUUGGACAAGCUACUGCGGCAUAACAGACUUCACCGGAGUAGAGUGAGGGUCCAACAGGGUUUUGGCUCUAAUAAGCCUGUUGCUGAUAUUAAAGAGUAUUUGUGUUUUUAUAGUAUUUUGUGCACCAUUAAACCCCUGUGUGUUUUCCCAUACCACACCUCCUGUUUCCUCCAGCUUUUACCGCAUCGCAGAGGGUCUAUUACAAAACCCAACACGGAUUACGGAUCUUGUCCGUAACACAUCCUCUUUCACUGCCAUCUUUUGGUGUGCUCUGUUAUUAGAAACAUCCACCAAAAUGCAGACAUGGUGUAUGAGUGUGUUGCCUUAUUUUAUCCCAAAAUAUUUACACUGCUUGGCAUCCUACAGUAUCUAUGGCCUCAGUCUUGCUCUGCAUUGCUUCAUGUGCAUAUUUCCUCUUACAUGAGCAUUGUUAAUAAUAUUUUCUGCUGUGUGCUUGCAGUGUUACCCUAUUACUUGUGGCUGAAAAGCAUCCGAGUGACGUAAAAAGCAAGCCAAUUCUACAAAUUCAGAUAUGUGAGAUUCUACGUUACAUAUUUUUUGCACUUGUAAAUGUCUUUAUUAUUAAAGUAUUACACUAGAUAACAGAUUUAUUGUAUAGAAUAUAUUCAAUGUUGUAAAUUGUAUUUGCAGUCCCUAAUGUAAUGUGUUAUGUUUUGUUGUUUUAGUAUAACCCAUUGUAUACAUAAAAGUACAGAAUCAGCAUGGUUUCCAAAAAUUGUAUCAGCAUAUGCUAACAGACAAAUGGGCAAGGAGAAAAUAUAAAUUAUUGUAUGAAUGGGACAAGGCAUGUGUGAUAAAUUUUUAAAAUUCAUUUAAUAUCGGUACACUUAAUAAGUGACCAUUUCUAACCUAUAUAAUUCAUUAAAAAGGUCCACAUCUCUAGGAGUGGGGAUAUUAAUAAUAUAUUUUUAAAGGU